ACUCAAAGGAAUUGACGGGGGCCCGCACAAGCGGUGGAGCAUGUGGUUUAAUUCGACGCAACGCGAAGAACCUUACCUGGGCUUGAACUGCAGUGGACCGGUAUAGAGAUAUGCCUUUUCGCAAGAACUGCUGCAGAGGUGCUGCAUGGCUGUCGUCAGCUCGUGUCGUGAGAUGUUGGGUUAAGUCCCGCAACGAGCGCAACCCUUACCCGUAGUUGCCAGCACGCAAGGUGGGAACUCUACGGGGACUGCCCGGGUUAACCGGGAGGAAGGUGGGGAUGAUGUCAAGUCAUCAUGGCCCUUAUGUCCAGGGCUACACACGUGCUACAAUGGGCGAUACAAACCGUUGCGAAGCUGCGAAGUGGAGCUAAUCGGAAAAAGUCGUCCUCAGUUCGGAUUGCAGGCUGCAACUCGCCUGCAUGAAGUUGGAAUCGCUAGUAAUCGUGUAUCAGAAUGAUACGGUGAAUACGUUCCCGGGCCUUGUACACACCGCCCGU
rnacentral:rRNA from 1 species